GGGGGAUAUUGCACAAUGGGGGAAACCCUGAUGCAGCAACGCCGCGUGAGGGAAGAAGGUUUUCGGAUUGUAAACCUCUGUUCUUAGUGACGAUAAUGACGGUAGCUAAGGAGAAAGCUCCGGCUAACUACGUGCCAGCAGCCGCGGUAAUACGUAGGGAGCGAGCGUUGUCCGGAUUUACUGGGUGUAAAGGGUGCGUAGGCGGCGAGGCAAGUCAGGCGUGAAAUCUAUGGGCUUAACCCAUAAACUGCGCUUGAAACUGUCUUGCUUGAGUGAAGUAGAGGUAGGCGGAAUUCCCGGUGUAGCGGUGAAAUGCGUAGAGAUCGGGAGGAACACCAGUGGCGAAGGCGGCCUACUGGGCUUUAACUGACGCUGAAGCACGAAAGCAUGGGUAGCAAACAGGAUUAGAUACCCUGGUAGUCCAUGCCGUAAACGAUGAUUACUAGGUGUGGGGGGUCUGACCCCCUCCGUGCCGCAGUUAACACAAUAAGUAAUCCACCUGGGGAGUACGGCCGCAAGGUUGAAACUCAAAGGAAUUGACGGGGGCCCGCACAAGCAGUGGAGUAUGUGGUUUAAUUCGAAGCAACGCGAAGAACCUUACCAGGUCUUGACAUCCGUCUAACGAAGCAGAGAUGCAUUAGGUGCCCUUCGGGGAAAGGCGAGACAGGUGGUGCAUGGUUGUCGUCAGCUCGUGUCGUGAGAUGUUGGGUUAAGUCCCGCAACGAGCGCAACCCUUGUUUCUAGUUGCUACGCAAGAGCACUCUANAGAGACUGCCGUUGACAAAACGGAGGAAGGUGGGG
rnacentral:rRNA from 1 species